UGUCAAAUCAUCAUGCCCCUUACGCCCCGGGCCACACACGUACUACAAUGGCGCAAACAAAGGGAAGCGAAGCCGCGAGGCGGAGCAAACCCCGGAAAAUGCGUCCCAGUUCGGACUGCAGGCUGCAACUCGCCUGCACGAAGUUGGAAUUGCUAGUAAUCGCGGAUCAGCAUGCCGCGGUGAAUACGUUCCCGGGCUUU
rnacentral:rRNA from 1 species